rnacentral:rRNA from 1 species
AUUGAACGCUGGCGGCAGGCUUAACACAUGCAAGUCGAGCGGGGGAGGUUGCUUCGGUAACUGACCUAGCGGCGGACGGGUGAGUAAUGCUUAGGAAUCUGCCUAUUAGUGGGGGACAACAUUCCGAAAGGGAUGCUAAUACCGCAUACGCCCUACGGGGGAAAGCAGGGGAUCUUCGGACCUUGCGCUAAUAGAUGAGCCUAAGUCGGAUUAGCUAGUUGGUGGGGUAAAGGCCUACCAAGGCGACGAUCUGUAGCGGGCCUGAGAGGAUGAUCCGCCGCACUGGGACUGAGACACGGCCCAGACUCCUACGGGAGGCAGCAGUGGGGAAUAUUGGACAAUGGGCGGAAGCCUGAUCCAGCCAUGCCGCGUGUGUGAAGAAGGCCUUUUGGUUGUAAAGCACUUUAAGCGAGGAGGAGGCUCUUAAGGUUAAUACCCUUGAUGAGUGGACGUUACUCGCAGAAUAAGCACCGGCCAACUCUGUGCCAGCCGCCGCCGUAACAC